AGACGGAACCGGGCCCCUCUGGCAUGCGACCCCGUGCCAUGUCGGACCGUCACG
rfam:Rhodospirillales bacterium 69-11 SCNpilot_cont_750_bf_scaffold_280, whole genome shotgun sequence.